CGGAGGGAGCAGGAGCUGCUGGCACACAGAGGGAGCAGGGAGCAGGAGCUGCUGGCACACAGGGGGAGCAGGGAGCAGGAGCUGCUGGCACACAGAGGGAGCAGGAAGCAGGAGCCCUCCUGGCACACACGGAGCAGGAGCCCUCCUGGCCCUGCGGGGUCUUGCAGCGCUGUCAGCGCAGCUGCAGCAGCGCAGGAAUCCUGCAGGGAUCGCUCGGGGCCUUCCUGCCCAGCCCCUCGCAGCGGCUCAGGACCCCGAGGGCUCCGGCACUGCUCGGGUGUCGCUGUUCCCGCACGCUGGAAUUCCUGCGGAGGCAGCCGGGAGCACGGGAGGCGGGGGUGGCUCCAGAGCCACGGCCACAAAUUCAUCCAUUUUCCCCCGUUUUCAUAAUUUCAUCAUUUUCCCUGUUGCCUCCCUCAGGCUGGCUCUUCAUGGGUCCACCUGUUGUCCCCUGGCAGGUGGCAGCCCCGAUCCUUGGGAAGGGCAGUGUCUGCUCCUCGCCCGGGUUUGGCCCCGAACCUGCUUGGCUCUGCGAGGCUGCCUGGCAGGAAAGCUGCACCCCUGGCUGGCCUUGUGGUUGUGCCAGUCCUGGGCAGAACAGGGAGAGGCUGCUGCAGCCUGCUGCUCCUCCCGCUGGAGUUACGGUCUGAAAGAAUUCACUCGUUAAGGAAAGGUUCUUUACAGAUGUUUUGCAGGUCUCCACCUGCAAAAUGAAUGGAUGGCCCAAAUUGUUCAGAACAGAGCAAAACAAUGUCUGGUGAUUUUAUUACAAGAAAUCACUGUUUUUAUGUCAGGAGAAGUCAGAGGCAGUAAAAGCUGAGAAGGCAUUCAUCCUCUCCACCAAGCAGCUCCCAAAAGGGUGCACUUGCAGCUGUUAAAGAACGUGAGACAAUCUUAUUCUUAGUUUUUCAUAUGCUGUUAAAUUAACUUUUGUAUGUUUAUGACAAGGCAGCACAUCGUGGGCUGGAACCUGCUCAGCAGCAGCAGCACUGAGUUCUUGCCAGGCUUCCUUUGUGUCUGAGAGCUGAGAAAGAGCUGCCGAGGUGAUCCCAGUGCACCCUGAGCAGGGAUCCAGGGAUGCCGAGCUGUCUCCAGCCCGGAAUGGCUCGGUUCAGGUGGCCCAACCGGGAUUUACUCAGCUUUCACCGCCUGCUGGCCCUGCUGCUCCCGUGGGGGCUCUGCCCCUUUGUGCUUUCCCUUUGUGCUGCCGAGCUGGGAUUAGCGCUGGGAGGUUUAAUGGGAGCUGGGAUUAGCGCUGGGAGGUUUAAUGGGAGCUGGGAUUAGCGCUGGGAGGUUUAAUGGGAGCUGGGAUUGGCGCUGGGAGGUUUAAUGGGAGCUGGGAUUGGCGCUGGGAGGUUUAAUGGCUUUAUCCCAUCACUGUGAGUGUGGAGAGGGAGGGCUUUCACACUGAACUCACUGCAGGUGCAGCAGAGGAAACCUCCCCACUGGAACGUUGGGAAGGGCUGAACUCCAGCAGGAAUCCCCCCGGACGGAGACAAAACCAUUCCUUGCAUCCCUUCUGUGGGUGGGAGCACUGUGCUGGGGCCCUGGAGAGCUGGGGUGAGCACGGCAGGGACAGCUCUGGGCCUCGCCCUGAGACCCCCCUGCAGCUCGGGGGCACCGGCUCCCUUCUGCCCGGGAGCCGCCGAGCUCCUGCUCCUGCUGCUCACUGCGGGGUGUCACCACCCCUGGGUGCCCCAGCAGGGUGUCAUCACCCCUGGGUGCCCCAGCCUGGCUGCUGCGGGGUGUCACCACCCCUGGGUGCCCCAGCAGGGUGUCACCACCCCUGGGUGCCCCAGCCUGGCUGCUGCAGGGUGUCACCACCCCUGGGUGCCCCAGCCUGGCUGCUGCAGGGUGUCGUCACCCCUGGGUGCCCCAGCAGGGUGUCAUCACCCCUGUGUGCUGCAGGGUGUCAUCACCCCUGGGUGCCCCAGCCUGGCUGCUGCAGGGUGUCAUCACCCCUGGGUGCCCCAGCCUGCAGACAUCUCUGGUCUCUCCCCAGAGAAGGGCCCCUCAGGAGGGGCUGUCUCACUCCUCUGUCCCUGUCCAACCCUGGCUCCACCCAGGAUGGAUCCUCAUCCCGAGUUUUCACACUUCUGUAAGUUUUGGCUCAUUUCCAUGUUGGGAUCAGUUGUCCAGUUCCAGCUCAAGGUGAUGCAGUCCCAUCCUCCCAGCUUGCUCUCCUCAGUUCCCCGUGGUUUGCACUUUUUGGGCCUGAGGCUACAGCAGCGUCCUUGGUUCUGGGAUUGUUUUGUCUGACUGAACUCUGGCGAGAACUUGUCACUGCUUCAGAUGAAGUCAGUGCAGCCUCUGGAAAAACAGGAAAGCUCAAACUUGAGGCGUCCCCACGGGGGUGACCCAGAGCUGUGACAGCAGGGCCCGCCCGAGAGCGCCCCAGGCUGGGCUCUGCCGUGCCUCGCGUCGCUCCCGGACUGCAGGACUCGCACCCCAGCCCCAGCCGGUGCUUUCUUGCUCCAGGAAGUUUUUCUGUCCUUCUGGUGAGGUUUGGUAGCACCCCAAAGCUGUGAUUCAGCUGGAUUGAGAGCUGUGAAGUACCCAUAACCCAAAACUCACCCUGGGAGGGUUUUUCAGGCGUGGAAACCUAGUUAAGCAUUUCUUUUCUUCAGCCAUUGCCUUUUGAUAAGCGGUCAACAGAAUUCCCAGUAGUUCCUUUGUAGCUUCCUGUAUGUUUUUCAUUAGACCUAGUUUGUGGAUAAUAUACUGUAGCUCACUUUCCUGAAAUUCUGUAACAGAGUAUGUUUUUGAUUAAAAAAGUUAAAGAUUCA